rnacentral:rRNA from 1 species
GGCGGGACACGUGGUAUCCUGUCUGAAUAUGGGGGGACCAUCCUCCAAGGCUAAAUACUCCUGACUGACCGAUAGUGAACCAGUACCGUGAGGGAAAGGCGAAAAGAACCCCGGCGAGGGGAGUGAAAAAGAACCUGAAACCGUGUACGUACAAGCAGUGGGAGCCCCACCACUAAGCCAGUGGUGAACUCCACAUACGCAUCCUUUGCUGAGGAUACGGUUAACGGAGCGAAAGCGACGUUCAACCGCAAAAGAAGCAGAGGGGGCUUAGUGGUGGGGUGACUGCGUACCUUUUGUAUAAUGGGUCAGCGACUUAUAUUCUGUAGCAAGGUUAACCGAAUAGGGGAGCCGGAGGGAAACCGAGUCUUAAUUGGGCGUUAAGUUGCAGGGUAUAGACCCGAAACCCGGUGAUCUAGCCAUGGGCAGGUUGAAGGUUGGGUAACACUAACUGGAGGACCGAACCGACUAAUGUUGAAAAAUUAGCGGAUGACCUGUGGCUGGGGGUGAAAGGCCAAUCAAACCGGGAGAUAGCUGGUUCUCCCCGAAAGCUAUUUAGGUAGCGCCUCGUGAAUUCAUCUCCGGGGGUAGAGCACUGUUUCGGCUAGGGGGCCAUCCCGGCUUACCAACCCGAUGCAAACUGCGAAUACCGGAGAAUGUUAUCACGGGAGACACACGGCGGGUGCUAACGUCCGUCGUGAAGAGGGAAACAACCCAGACCGCCAGCUAAGGUCCCAAAGUCAUGGUUAAGUGGGAAACGAUGUGGGAAGGCCCAGACAGCCAGGAUGUUGGCUUAGAAGCAGCCAUCAUUUAAAGAAAGCGUAAUAGCUCACUGGUCGAGUCGGCCUGCGCGGAAGAUGUAACGGGGCUAAACCAUGCACCGAAGCUGCGGCAGCGACGCUGAUGCGUUGUUGGGUAGGGGAGCGUUCUGUAAGCCUGCGAAGGUGGCCUGUGAGGGUUGCUGGAGGUAUCAGAAGUGCGAAUGCUGACAUAAGUAACGAUAAAGCGGGUGAAAAGCCCGCUCGCCGGAAGACCAAGGGUUCCUGUCCAACGUUAAUCGGGGCAGGGUGAGUCGACCCCUAAGGCGAGGCCGAAAGGCGUAGUCGAUGGGAAACGGGUUAAUAUUCCCGUACUUGGUGUUACUGCGAAGGGGGGACGGAGAAGGCUAUGUUGGCCGGGCGACGGUUGUCCCGGUUUAAGCGUGUAGGUGUGUGUUCCAGGUAAAUCCGGUUCACUUUAACACUGAGGCGUGAUGACGAGGCACUACGGUGCUGAAGCAACAAAUGCCCUGCUUCCAGGAAAAGCCUCUAAGCAUCAGGUAACAUCAAAUCGUACCCCAAACCGACACAGGUGGUCAGGUAGAGAAUACCAAGGCGCUUGAGAGAACUCGGGUGAAGGAACUAGGCAAAAUGGUGCCGUAACUUCGGGAGAAGGCACGCUGACACGUAGGUGAAGUGAUUUACUCAUGGAGCUGAAGUCAGUCGAAGAUACCAGCUGGCUGCAACUGUUUAUUAAAAACACAGCACUGUGCAAACACGAAAGUGGACGUAUACGGUGUGACGCCUGCCCGGUGCCGGAAGGUUAAUUGAUGGGGUCAGCGCAAGCGAAGCUCCUGAUCGAAGCCCCGGUAAACGGCGGCCGUAACUAUAACGGUCCUAAGGUAGCGAAAUUCCUUGUCGGGUAAGUUCCGACCUGCACGAAUGGCGUAAUGAUGGCCAGGCUGUCUCCACCCGAGACUCAGUGAAAUUGAACUCGCUGUGAAGAUGCAGUGUACCCGCGGCAAGACGGAAAGACCCCGUGAACCUUUACUAUAGCUUGACACUGAACAUUGAGCCUUGAUGUGUAGGAUAGGUGGGAGGCUUUGAAGUGUGGACGCCAGUCUGCAUGGAGCCGACCUUGAAAUACCACCCUUUAAUGUUUGAUGUUCUAACGUGGACCCGUGAUCCGGGUUGCGGACAGUGUCUGGUGGGUAGUUUGACUGGGGCGGUCUCCUCCUAAAGAGUAACGGAGGAGCACGAAGGUUGGCUAAUCCUGGUCGGACAUCAGGAGGUUAGUGCAAUGGCAUAAGCCAGCUUGACUGCGAGCGUGACGGCGCGAGCAGGUGCGAAAGCAGGUCAUAGUGAUCCGGUGGUUCUGAAUGGAAGGGCCAUCGCUCAACGGAUAAAAGGUACUCCGGGGAUAACAGGCUGAUACCGCCCAAGAGUUCAUAUCGACGGCGGUGUUUGGCACCUCGAUGUCGGCUCAUCACAUCCUGGGGCUGAAGUAGGUCCCAAGGGUAUGGCUGUUCGCCAUUUAAAGUGGUACGCGAGCUGGGUUUAGAACGUCGUGAGACAGUUCGGUCCCUAUCUGCCGUGGGCGCUGGAGAACUGAGGGGGGCUGCUCCUAGUACGAGAGGACCGGAGUGGACGCAUCACUGGUGUUCGGGUUGUCAUGCCAAUGGCACUGCCCGGUAGCUAAAUGCGGAAGAGAUAAGUGCUGAAAGCAUCUAAGCACGAAACUUGCCCCGA